rnacentral:lncRNA from 10 species
UUUACAGGAGAAAAAAUAAAAACGAAAACAAAAACUAUUUGAAAGUGCUCACUGCCUUCCUCAGGCUCCCUCAGUAUCCCUAAGGACUGUUGAGGGUGUCCAGAUUUCUUAGCAUGGCAAACAAGGGGCCUCAUGUUAUCAUCUACUGCCUUCAAUGGGUGCUUCAGAGACUGUACUCCUAGUAUCUAUCACAGUGUCAUAAAAUAAGCAUAACAGAAUAUUUGAAUGAACAAACUAUUGCUAUUAUAGGUAAAAUAAUCUCCACUAAUUUUUAAAAUUAUUAAGUGUGAAUUAUAAUUCACAUACAGAAAAAUGUGCAUAAGAGUACAGCUUGAAUUUUCAUGGACUUAUGCCAUGUGUACUUUUGUUGUCUUUUUAUGCUGGGCAUUAGGUUUCCCCAGUUGAUUCACGUUAUUGCCUGUAAUUGCAGAUGCUUUUUUGCGUUGCUGUAUAGUGUUUCAUUAUAUGAACUCUGUGUAAUUUCAUUAAUUUAUUCUAUUGUUGAUGGUCUUUUGGGUUAUUCUCAUUAAGGAAUUAUUACAAUAAAUGCAGCUACGAACAUUCUGAUACCUGCCUGUCCGUGCACCCUAAGUAUUCGUUUCUCUUUGCUCUAUAUGCAGGCGUGGAACUGCGGGGCCAUAGGGUAUGCACCUUUUGCAGACAGUCCCAAACUGUUUUUCAAAGGAGUUG